rnacentral:rRNA from 1 species
AUUGAACGCUGGCGGCAGGCCUAACACAUGCAAGUCGAACGAGUGGCGGACGGGUGAGUAAUGUCUGGGAAACUGCCUGAUGGAGGGGGAUAACUACUGGAAACGGUAGCUAAUACCGCAUACCAUCGGAUGUGCCCAGAUGGGAUUAGCUAGUAGGUGGGGUAACGGCUCACCUAGGCGACGAUCCCUAGCUGGUCUGAGAGGAUGACAGUCCACACGGAAACUGCGACCUGUUCCAGACUCCUACUGGAGGCAGCGGUGGGGAAUAUUGCACAAUGGGCGCAAGCCUGAUUCAGCCAUGCCGCGUUUAUGAAGAAGGCCUUCGGGUUGUAAAGUACUUACAGCGGGAGGCGUUACCCGCAGAAGAAGCACCGGCUAACUCCGUGCCAGCAGCCGCGGUAAUUC